AUCGUUCAUCUCCAACCGUGACUGACUGUCCAAUUGACCUCAGUCCUGGAGACGGAAGUAGGGAGUCAUCCCGAAGGAACGCGCC
rnacentral:ncRNA from 18 species